rnacentral:rRNA from 1 species
UACGUAGGGUGCAAGCGUUGUCCGGAAUUAUUGGGCGUAAAGAGCUCGUAGGCGGUUCGUCGCGUCGGCUGUGGAAACCUGAGGCUCAACCUCAGGCCUGCAGUCGAUACGGGCGGACUUGAGUACUGCAGGGGAGACUGGAAUUCCUGGUGUAGCGGUGAAAUGCGCAGAUAUCAGGAGGAACACCGGUGGCGAAGGCGGGUCUCUGGGCAGUAACUGACGCUGAGGAGCGAAAGCGUGGGGAGCGAACAGG